AUGUAUGCUGGUUUGGUGUGCCACAAGAAUUGCAGUCAGACCAGGGCACCAAUUUUGAAUCUCAGCUUUUCAGUGAGAUUAGGUGACAUCGACCAGAACAACUACUUAUAAUUCCAAAUCAGAUGGGAUAGAUAUGAGAUUUAGCGAGACACUAGUCAACUUCGUGGCUGUUUUCAGUGAUUUGAAGAGGAGGCAGAGCUAUAGGAUGAGAUGCUCCUGAUGCCACCUUUAAUUUGCGUAUCAGUGCAUGCCACAAGAAUUGACAGGGAAAUUUCAGGGGAAUCCCAAAACAUGAUGAUGUUGGGAAGGGAGGUCAGCAUUCCUUUAGAUCUGACCAACGGGUUUCCAGACACAGAGAACACCCAGACAGACUUUGCAGAGGACCUGCAGAGUAAUAUGCUAAGAAAGAGCAAGACAGUGCCUGAGUUAGAACCCCUUGUAGGCAGAAAAGAAAUUUACGACCGAAAAGGUGACAGAUGGGGGCAGCAGGUCUAAAAGAGGAGUGGCUAGUAUGGCUGCAUGACCCUGCCAAAAAGAAAAACAUGUCCCCAUGCUUCAGAUGCGUUGGGAGGGACAAUGCAGAUAGUUAAGGAGUUGUCAGAUGUAUCGGUAGAAGACAGCGUCAAACUGAAGCAGGGCCGUCAACUUUGUGUGGUGCGUGUAGACAAGUUAAAGCCAUAACUUUGCAAAGUAGAGCCUAAAGAGUCAGUUCCAUCAAGAGGGCAACAGAAAACCCUCAAGUGGAAAAGACUGAAAUGUGUAAUACAGGGAGAGGCACAGUGUGAAACAGCGUUUCAAGAUGAAGUGAUGAAAACUGCUAGUGGUCAUGAAACUUUGGAUCAUAGGAUGUCAGGAAGGCAACCCUGCGGACCACGACAGACGACUAAAUCUACCGUGUCACUGUGUCUGUGUGAAGGACCCUCUUCUUCCUCUUGAUUACUGAUGCAGACUCAAUGUAAAAAUGGGAACAGUGAUAAUUCCAAGAACAGUGAUGCAGAGCUACUUGAUACAUGUAGGCCUAAGCCAGCUCUGCCAAGCUAGGGUACAUGUUUCCUUGAAUGUUACAACAACCCUAUCUGCAAGGCAACAAUACCUUAUCAGCUCAUGAGACCAACAAAGGCUCCCUUAGCGUGGCAAGAGCCCAUCUUGCCCCAGGAUCCACGUGCUACCAACAGAACUCUCUUUUCGUCUAUCAUCUGCAUGGGAAGCCAUGGGAGGCCAGUUGAUAACAGAGAGCAAGCCAUAGUUUUCCAAAGACUGCCAGGCAAAUAUAAUGACUGUGACUGGCUCCAAUCCCUCUUAAUUUGAGAACUUACUGUACCACUUCAAAAGCAGACCAGAGGUUGUACCACUCCAUCCACAACUUUCUGAAUCUUUCACCAACUCAUAUGAAUGCUCUGAACUGCAGCUUUUUGUCCACAGAGACUUUGAGAAAAUCCCCCACAGGCAGGACAUGGGAAUUUUCAAAACACACUUCUGCCUACCACAAAUUGUGGGCAUUCCUCUCAAUGACAAAUUCCUGCAAUAUCUUGUCCAGCCCUUGGUCAGAACUCCCCAGGGGAUAUUGUCAGAGAUGUUGUAAGUGUACAAUGACAUUUGAGUGGCCAAACAGUAACAGGCCUCCCACAGCAUCUCAGUGGGCACAGUCACGUCACUGAGUAUUCCCACUUUAUGACAAUUAAAAACAAUUUCCACUUCUGAUCCAAAACCUUUCUUCUGUUGGGAUUAUGCCUUAUGAAAACAAACAUCCUACACCUUAAAGUAGGCGCCUGUUGAAAAAAAACCCUGGGGCAUGUAGGUAGUGUAAGCAGGUCCCCGCAGCGCGCUCUUUACGCCCUGUUGGGAGGGUUUGCCUGCGGAUGUCAUUUCUGAUUUGCCACGGGCAUACUUGGCAGGUGGUGCUCUGUCUUGGCAAGUAAGGAUAUCCAAGAAAGCUUGAGGACUACACAACCAGCUCAGAUCGUGAACAGUGCAUUGUGAUAAAAUUCGGUCAAAAAAAUAAAAGUCAGUUAUUUUGCCCCAUCCCACUUUGUAGGCCUACCAGCUGUUGAAGGUACAUUGCAACUUCAUAACUAUAUUCUUUUCAGUCUAAUGACCGGUCCUUCCCCCCCCCCUCCACUUUUAAAACUGUUCCGUCGCUGUUGGGUGCAUGUACAUGAGUACCACCAGGUACAUGUGCAUUUUGUGAGGCACAUGGUUCCCUUGCUUGGCUCCCUGGUCCGCCAAUGUCUAGAGCUGUAGUUUUUACAAAGGUUGAGGUUACAAACCUUAUUG